AUCAGACCCUGACGAAGCCAAGUUGGCAGAAGACAUCCUGAACACCAUGUUUGACACCUCCUACAGCAAGCAGGUUAUCAACGAAGGCGAGGAGCCUGAGAACUUCUUCUGGGUGGGCAUUGGGGCACAGAAGCCCUAUGAUGACGAUGCCGAGUACAUGAAACACACACGGCUCUUCCGGUGCUCCAAUGAGAAGGGCUACUUUGCAGUGACUGAGAAAUGCUCUGACUUUUGCCAAGAUGACCUGGCAGAUGAUGACAUCAUGUUGCUAGACAACGGCCAAGAGGUGUGAUGUUGCCACUAGCCCUGCCCAUCCGAGGAGGCGCCCAUAGUCUUGUAAAUGGAAAUUCUCGGGCCAGGAGCAAGGGGCUGUUCCCAGGCACCCAUGCAAUGAUAUCUCCCCUGCUUCCCCCACAGGUCUACAUGUGGGUGGGGACCCAGACUAGCCAGGUGGAGAUCAAGCUGAGCCUGAAGGCCUGCCAGGUAUAUAUCCAGCACAUACGGUCCAAGGAACAUGA
rnacentral:sRNA from 1 species